rnacentral:misc_RNA from 1 species
GAUGAAGAACGUAGCGAAAUGCGAUACGUAAUGUGAAUUGCAGAAUUCAGUGAAUCAUCGAAUCUUUGAACGCAUAUUGCGCUCUCUGGUAUUCCGGAGAGCAUGCUUGUUUGAAUAUCAGUAAACACCUCAACUUCCAUAUCUUUUUUUGAAAUGGGAGUUGGACUUGAGUGAUCCCAACGCUUUUCCUCACCGAAAAGUGGCGGGUUACUUGAAAUGCAGGUGCAGCUGGACUUUUCUCUGAGCUAUAAGCAUAUCUAUUUAGUCUGCCUAAAAAACAGAUUAUUACCUUUGCUGCAGCUAACAUAAAGGAGAUUAGUUCUUGUGCUGACUGAUGCAGGAUUCACAAAGACAGCUUCGGCCGACUUUGUAAACUCGAUCUCAAAUCAAGUAAGACUACCCGCUGAACUUAAGCAUAUCAAUAAGCGGAGGA